GCUUGAUUUAUAAUUUUCUUUAUGUGUUUUUUCAAUCUACCUUCUUCAUCAAAUUUAGUUAUGAUGAUGUAUUUGGUUGAAGGGUGUUUGAGUUGAAUUUCAAGUAAUUCAGUAUCAAGUUUGUUGCUUUGUGUGGGUUUUUUUAUCUCUGUAUUUUAAGAGAAAAAUUGGAGUAUAAUCUCUCAAUUUUUGUUGAUUUUCUGACUCAAUUCUUGUCUUCGUUGUUAACAUCUGCGAGUUAUCUUUCAUCACUGUUCUGAUUUUGAACUUUACAGUUUGAUUUGGAGUUUUCGUUUGUGUGUUUGAUGUCGCCACUUACUCCAAUUUGAUAAUUCAUGAUUUUUUUAUGGAAUUUUGCGUGUAGGGUGUAUAUGCAUUACUAAUUUAUGUUAGUUGUUGGCCAUGAAAUCAAUUUGGGUCUUUUUGGUUCUUCUUGAGAAACAUGAAAAUCUAGUCAUAUAUGAGGAAGCUUCCAUGAAAUUCACAACUUCAAAGUGAAGAACUACUACUAUUAAAUAAUACAAAUUCUGAGUACAUUUGGGUUAUUUAGAUGGAAAAAUCUGAACUCAUGUUGCUUCACUAUUUUGAUUUUAAGAGGCACAUUGAAAGUCAAGACAAUCAUUGAGAAUAUAAAGUAAAUUACUCUAAAUGACAAUAUUAUAAUAAUUCGGAACCCCAUGAAUUAGAAAGCUUCCUUUUUUAUAUUAGUGUGUUGGAUUUGAUUAUAUGCUACCUCUUUGUGAAGAAAAAGAGACAUCAUUAGCAGCGUUAUGUCCCGCUGAUUUUUGUUAGAAACCUAACCUUUGAAUUUAUUAGACAGGAUUUGAUGUAUCUCCACCUUAUCGAGGACAAUGGCCUUACAUAGAUUUAAAGAUCAUGUAUUAGGGUAGUAGGCUCAUAUGCACAGAAGUACAGGAACUAGGAAACAAAAUAGUUCCUUAUUCACUUAUCUGACCAAUUAUUCUAUAUUGAAACAGAAUGAGAAUAAAUUGCAGAACAUUAAGCUUCACCAUCAAAUUUUUCCUUAUAGAAAUUAUUACUUAACUAUCACAGAAUGACAACACUAAGCUCUACCGUUAUGUUCUUUCGUUAAUAACUGUCACACAUGGUUGUUUAUUAUUACUAUAUCAUUAUAGGUCAUUUAUACUGCUCUGUGUUAGCAAAUAUUAGCUAGGCAAUUUCAACUCCGCAGGAAUUUGAAACUCAAAUUUGUCUAGCUGAAGAAACAAGGAAUAUACUCUUGAUUACACACAACGAGUUCGAUGGGAUUGAGGCUGCAAUCAGAAUAGUGUCCUAAGUUCAUAGAUGUACAAAAGGGUAGUGAUGCAUUGUAUUUCAUAUUAGGAAAUGCUACUUCAGUUAGUAGGGAGUGGAGGAACUUCAGAACUACCACUAGAUGAUGAUUUUGUCCAGUACAACAGCAAUGCCUGCUAGAAUUCUUUUUAAAGAGAGCAAAGAUCAAACUGUACACUUCCAAACUACAAUUGCGCAAGAAGAAAAUCAAUUAUUCAGCACGCAGAUACUCUAAAUCUGAUGAUUUAGCUGCAUAUCAUGAUAUUCCUUUUACAGGCAGACUUCAACUCUUCAAAGGCCAACAACUACAAAUAGUACACACGCUCUUUGUAAAAACGCUGCACUGAAUUUUUUUUAUAUUUCAUUUGUGAAGACAUGUUGGGCCCGUGCAAACCACUAGUACAAGUACAAAGGAACAAAUAUAUAUUGUAUAAAUAACAUAAAUACCAACCUUUUAAAAGUAAUUACACUC